rfam:Morus notabilis contig22025, whole genome shotgun sequence.
UUGCGAUGAUGAUGUCACAAACUAGUUGAGAGUAUUCUCUGUGUAACUUUGACAUGUAUGUCGAUCCUGAGCGGUUACCUGAGCAA